rnacentral:lncRNA from 1 species
CUCCUCCUCCUCGAUAGCCUCCUCCCCCUCCUCCACCUCCACGGUAUGUGGGAGUAUAUAUCCGAUGGCCGUUCAUCGCUUCUUCAUUGCACAAAAGGCGGGCCGGGUGGGCCUGGAGGUCCUGGAGGCCCAGGUGGACAUGCACAGGAGCCGUUGAGAAGCGGAAGAUAAUCCAGGAGGAGUUCAAAUUGCUCUUGAAAUCUUUGAAUGUGAGCUCUCUCCGCGGCGGAAUAAGAGCGCGGAUCCAAACCGUAGUAAGGGUUCAAAGAAGCCAAAACUUCCUUGUGCUGGCAUAGUUUCCAUUAAAAAUCAUCAAACAGCUGCCGUUACAUGAACGAUACAUACCUUCAUUAUAGACACAGAUCAGACGAGUUCGGAUGGAAAAUGGAUUCUGUGCGGAAUCUUAUGACGAAUGCGAUGUUCUAGUGAAACGGAACUGUGACAUGCUGUCGAUCUAGCGAAUUAAAAGAUUAGGUUAUGGAGGAAAGGAUACCAGAGAUGUUGUGCCACGAACUACCCGCAGUUGGACACUGACUCACGUUGAGAGAUUGUCGGCCGAUUAUGAAGAAGAGAUAAAAUAAGAGUUUGAUCUUCGCGACGGGACCUGGUUCAGGCGAGAUGCUGGCUUCCGGCACCCGAGUGUCCCUAAUCUCAUUCUAAUUGGGAUCAUCGCAUCUCCGGGGAUCGUCAAACACGUUAUAAAUGAAAGUGCAGCCAAAGAUUCACUCGCGGAAAUGUGAGAUGGGAAAACGAGGUUGGCGUCUUCUAGAGAUGGAUAUUUUGACAACACAAGCUUUCUCUUUUCACUUCACCUCAUUAGCGUUUUCUACGCUGGAGAAAGGAUAAGUCACGCAUUACUGCUGAAUUGUUUUCCCAGAAUCACAGUGGUGUCCCAGUUUAAUUACUGAGUGGAAAGCAGUAUCAACAUCGCUGCUAGCUGAUGAGCUGAAGAUUUGAUCUCUUUCAGCGCUUGAUGCAGCGUAAUCAAAUCAAGCACGCAGGAAAUAUUUGGCUUCCGGCCAUUUCGCGUCCUUAAUCUCAUUCUGAUUGAAAAUAGAGAGACGGUUCAAUUAGCAUCUAGACUCUUCGCACGCUUUUUAGAUUUGUUACUUUCGAUCCACAGAAUUCGCUUUCAGCUUUCACCAACUACAUCUUCCCAAAUGUUUUCUCCUCCGACUGCUUUGUCAAUACAGUGAUUUGCUUCCAACGAGA